CCCUGGCUCAGGAUGAACGCUAGCGGCAGGCUUAACACAUGCAAGUCGAGGGGUAUAAGUCUUCGGAUUUAGAGACCGGCGCACGGGUGCGUAACGCGUAUGCAAUCUACCUUUCACAGAGGGAUAGCCCAGAGAAAUUUGGAUUAAUACCUCAUAGUAUAGUGAUACCGCAUGGUACUACUAUUAAAGUCACAACGGUGAAAGAUGAGCAUGCGUCCCAUUAGCUAGUUGGUAAGGUAACGGCUUACCAAGGCUACGAUGGGUAGGGGUCCUGAGAGGGAGAUCCCCCACACUGGUACUGAGACACGGACCAGACUCCUACGGGAGGCAGCAGUGAGGAAUAUUGGACAAUGGGCGCAAGCCUGAUCCAGCCAUGCCGCGUGCAGGAUGACGGUCCUAUGGAUUGUAAACUGCUUUUGCACAGGAAGAAACAACGCUACGUGUAGCGUCUUGACGGUACUGUGAGAAUAAGGAUCGGCU
rnacentral:rRNA from 1 species